GAUCCUAAGACCCAGGAUCAUGCCCUGAGAGGAAGGCAGAUGCUCAACGCUGAGCCACCCAGAAUAACGAAUCCAUGCCUUAGCAACCUCCAGAUUUGACCAGUGAGAGCUGGGCAGCGCCAGGGCUCAGGCCUUAGGGAAGGAAGCCCCACAGGAGCUGCUUGCCUGGAAGAGGCCGGAGCAGACCUGGCUGAGGAGUGGACCUUGGUGCAGAUUGUCCACACUGGGGAUCCUGGCAAAACACAGCAGAAACAGGGAGGACAUUCCAAGAGACCCCUGCUGGAUUCACCGCCGAUGUUGGUUCCAGGCUAGCACCGGGGCUCAACAGUGAACAAGGCAAAUAUGGUCCCUGCCCUGGAGGAACAUGGGUCCUGAGAGGUGUGGGGUGACAGACAAGAACACAGACAAAGGAACGGAUCGUGGCAGAUAUGGAAGACACCACAGGAACACGAAGCGGGGUGAUGUGAUAGAAGAUGAUGGGAGACAAAAGGUUGUCAGGUGACAAUUUGAGCCAAGGUGCGAAUAAGCCAGAGGGUAAACGGUGGAUGCUGAGCACUCGGGGCUGCGGGUACAACACCCACCCACAGGGACUAGCUGGGCAGCAGGCAGCGGUGUGAACAGUGCCAGUGUGGCUGCAGCUCAGGGACGGGGAACACAGACAGGGGUCCAAGGAGAGGUCAGCGAGGUGGGGCAGGUCAGAUGGUGGGUUUGUUUCCCUGGGCCACCUGGGGCAAGGUGGGCCUGCACUGAAUGCGGUUUGUCUCGGUGCACAGGAGCCACUGUGCCCCUCACCGGCUCUCUGCAGUGACUCAACACAGGGCCUGCCGCCUCUGGCCUGCUGUUGGAAUAGGCUUCCCUGGGUCAAUCCAUGAAUUUCAGUUUGUUAUUGUUCUGUCCACCUGGGUCCUGUUCUCUCGGAGGUGAUUUUCCAGUGGAGGAGCCACAGACGUCCCCAGGAGACACACUGUCACCCAGGUGACCAUGAGGAUUGCCAUGAGCCCAUAAAUGGGUCAGGGUGACCCUAGUUUGUGGAGGGGCUCCGAAGGGCUUCUCUGAGGCAGUGAUACCCCCAUAACACUGUGUGGGAGAAAGGGAAGUUAGGCGGAAUGGGUGAUCCAGGAGGAGCCUGGCUCAGGUGGAGGUCUGAGCCAAAGAGUGGAGAGAAGGCCAGGAUGCCUGCCUGAGUCAGGGGAGACCACCUCCUGUGGGGUGAGUAGCGUCCCCACAAAGUCAUGUCCUUCCAGGGACCUCCGGAUGUUGCAUUAUUUAGAAAUACGGUCAUUGGGCAGCCGGAGUGGCUAAGCAGUUUAACUCCACCUUCAGCCCAGGAUGUGAUCCUGGAGACCGGGAUGGAGUCCCACAUCGGGCUCCCUGCGUGGAGCCUGCUUCUCCCUCUGCCUGUGACUGCCUCUCUCUGUCUC